rnacentral:rRNA from 1 species
UACAGAGGGUGCUAGCGUUGUUCGGAAUCAUUGGGCGUAAAGGGCGUGUAGGCGGUUUGUUAAGUCAUGUGUGAAAUCCCACGGCUUAACCGUGGAACUGCUGGGUAUACUGGGUGUCUUGAGCCACUCAGGGGCUACCGGAACAAGCGGUGGAGCGGUGAAAUGCGUAGAUAUCGCUUGGAACGCCAAUGGUGAAAACAGGUAGCUGGGGGUGUGCUGACACUGAGACACGAAAGCCAGGGGAGCAAACGGG